AGAGCUGCAUUACAUUUAACUGCCUAGGCGGGCGCGGCAGCGGCUUCGGCAGCCUACCCACAACCCACACCCACCCACCUCCACAAUAUGGUUGUUAAGGGAAAUUAUAUUGCGCGUUUUAAAUUAAAUUAUCAGUAAUUUGGUUAAUUAAAGUUGAAUUAUAUUUUGUUUUUAUUCACGUUUUGUGGCUGCUCCUAUGGGAUUUUUAGGCAUCAAAAUGGUAAAUGAAAUUGUGCGUAAUGGAAAAGAAAUGGUUUGGGAAAUGGAAGUAAAAUUGGAAGUCAUUGUACUAUAAAACUUAAAUCACUUGAAUGCAGACAAAGCAGACAUCAAAAAUUAUUAAUUUAAUGAUUGGCGAAAUUUAGAAAAGAUGAUAUAAUGUUGUCAUUUAUGUUAUGUCAAAACACCCACAACGUGUGCUUUGGGUAUAAUGCAAAUUGCCAUCUUAUUAUCAAUUACAGUUUUGCAAACUUAAAUUAAUAGAAAAAUAAAUGCUCGAAAAUA